rnacentral:rRNA from 1 species
UACGUAGGGUGCAAGCGUUAAUCGGAAUUACUGGGCGUAAAGCGUGCGCAGGCGGUUUUGUAAGUCUGUCGUGAAAGCCCCGGGCUCAACCUGGGAAUUGCGAUGGAGACUGCAAGGCUUGAAUCUGGCAGAGGGGGGUAGAAUUCCACGUGUAGCAGUGAAAUGCGUAGAGAUGUGGAGGAACACCGAUGGCGAAGGCAGCCCCCUGGGUUAACACUGACGCUCAGGCACGAAAGCGUGGGGAGCAAACAGG